rnacentral:rRNA from 1 species
GAUGAACGCUGGCGGCGUGCCUAAUACAUGCAAGUCGAGCGAACAGACGAGGAGCUUGCUCCUCUGACGUUAGCGGCGGACGGGUGAGUAACACGUGGAUAACCUACCUAUAAGACUGGGAUAACUUCGGGAAACCGGAGCUAAUACCGGAUAAUAUAUUGAACCGCAUGGUUCAAUAGUGAAAGACGGUUUUGCUGUCACUUAUAGAUGGAUCCGCGCCGCAUUAGCUAGUUGGUAAGGUAACGGCUUACCAAGGCAACGAUGCGUAGCCGACCUGAGAGAGUGAUCGGCCACACUGGAGCUGAGACACGGUCCAGACUCCUACGGGAGGCAGCAGUAGGGAAUCUUCCGCAGUGGGCGGAAGCCUGACGGAGCAACGCCGCGUGAGUGAUGAAGGUCUUCGGAUCGUAAAACUCUGUUAUUAGGGAAGAACAAAUGUGUAAGUAACUAUGCACGUCUUGACGGUACCUAAUCAGAAAGCCACGGCUAACUACGUG